GAGAGGGAGAGGGAGACAGAGACAGAGAGACAGAGGCAGAGAGCAUACAGGCAAUCAGCCUGUCUCCACGAGAGCUGUGGGCACUCAGUCGGAGUGUGGAAGAAAGAGGCCCACAGGGAGGUCACCACCCGAGCAAGCAUGAGGCCUCCACGCUGAAAAAGAUGGACAUUUUAUUUGCCAAGGGUCCAAAAAAGGACCUCAUUUAAGAAAAGCUGCUUGAGAGAGAGUUCUGGGGACCUGAAAGAAGACUGCCUCUCAGACAGAUGGACUGAGAAGACUGAAAGCUGAGCAGGCUCAGGAGCCCUGACUACAGAGAUUUCCAAAUACUGAGCUAGUUCUGGCAAUGUGUGCAUCAAUUUCAUCAUCUAUGUGGACACCCCUGGAAAAUAUACUGACAAGAUCCACUGGAUUUUUGUAUUGUCCAUAAGUGUGAGCACAUUCCACAUACCCAUGAUGAUAUCAUACUGGUUACAUCAAUCCCAGGCACACUGCAGAGCAUCCUAGAAAAGAUCUAUAACCACUCAAAAGAAUUGGUCUAGCCAUCCACACAGGAAAAAACAAGUGGAUGAAAAAGGUCUUUGUCCAGAUUAUGACAUCAAAAAUCAUGUUAUUCCUAAUGAGCUAUUCGCUGGAAAGCCAAUGUUUUGUAAGACUGUACUGGAUUUUACUAAGUCUUUAUUACUGCAAGUUUAAGCAGCGUUACCUAGGAAACCUCCACAAGUGUCUUGGAACCUGGGAAGUCAAUCAGUUGGAACAAAUCUCUCUUUAAAAGCAGCAGAAACAAGGCAUAAAGCCAGGUACUGUUCCAGGUAUUGUUAACAACUGACUUAAACACACUAAUAUGAUGAUUCAGGGAUGUAUGCAGACCCCUUUGACACAGAAAUUUCAAGGGAAAAUGUUUCCCAGAAUCAGAUGACUUCAUGAAGUAGGCAACUAACCCCAAGACAAUGGACUAAGAAGCCUGUUGAAAUGGACAUUAACAUGCAUUCCUGUUCCCUGUUCUAUCUUGUCUUCCUGAUUAUAGUUAUGUUAAUUGACCAUUGUUUGACAUAAUGCCCUAACCCUUAUAGAAAAGGACCUAAAUGUCAGUUUUAGAAUACCACUAGGCAGCUGGGUGGCAUAAUGGAUAGGGUCAGGAAGACCUGAGUUCAAAACAGCCUCAAACAC